GUUUGGUUUGGAAUUUGGGUUUUUUGUUUGUUUGUUAGGGGUGGGGGGCUUUUUUGUUUUGGUAUGGGGUUUUUCAUUUGUUGGUUAGUUUUUUUUAAUUAACUCCCCUGGCAGCUCUGGGCAGAGCUCUGUAACUGUCUGACACUCGUCUGUGGCACUGUGCAGGUGGCCAGGGGCACCUUCCCCGAGCUGUCUGCAGAGGAAUCCACAUCAGCCCAGGCCGGGCUGGGCAGUGACCGGUCAGUUCCAUUGCCUGGACGCGGCUCUGGACGCUUCCCUUGGAGCCUCUCCAGGGAGGGAAUGCUGGGGCUGUCACCCAUGGAGUGUCACAGACAGGGGAACGCUGGGGCUGUCACCGCUGGGGUGUCACAGACAGGGGAACACUGGGGCUGUCACCGCUGGGGUGUCACAGACAGGGGAACGCUGGGGCUGUCACCGCUGGGGUGUCACAGACAGGGGAACGCUGGGGCUGUCACCGCUGGAGUGUCACAGACAGGGGAACGCUGGGGCUGUCACCGCUGGGGUGUCACAGACAGGGGAACGCUGGGGCUGCCCCGCUCCUGCCCUGUCCCCAGCAGCUCUGCCAGCGCCUCGAGGAGACAUAAAGCCUGAGCCAAAGGGGCAGUGGGUGCCAGAAAGGAGCGUUGCUCCUUGGGGAAACACAAUGUCCUUGGACUUCAGCAGAGCAUUGAAAUGGGCCCCCUCGAGCACCUCAGCACCACUGAAAUCUCCUCUUACUGGACUCAGCCCAGGAGAUCUCCCAGAGCAGCUGCAGAGGAGUCACUGUCAGGCGGAGGGACGUUUAUCAAAGGUUGAUGUAGAUCAAAACAAGCUCUGGCACCAUUCCAUAUUUUUGUUUGUCACUGGGAAAUAAAUACAGAUGUCCCCAUGCCACA